UAGGGAAUCUUCGGCAAUGGACGAAAGUCUGACCGAGCAACGCCGCGUGAGUGAAGAAGGUUUUCGGAUCGUAAUACUCUGUUGUUAGAGAAGAACAAGGACGUUAGUAACUGAACGUCCCCUGACGGUAUCUAACCAGAAAGCCACGGCUAACUACGUGCCAGCAGCCGCGGUAAUACGUAGGUGGCAAGCGUUGUCCGGAUUUAUUGGGCGUAAAGCGAGCGCAGGCGGUUUCUUAAGUCUGAUGUGAAAGCCCCCGGCUCAACCGGGGAGGGUCAUUGGAAACUGGGAGACUUGAGUGCAGAAGAGGAGAGUGGAAUUCCAUGUGUAGCGGUGAAAUGCGUAGAUAUAUGGAGGAACACCAGUGGCGAAGGCGGCUCUCUGGUCUGUAACUGACGCUGAGGCUCGAAAGCGUGGGGAGCAAACAGG
rnacentral:rRNA from 1 species